UGGGGAAUUUUGGACAAUGGGCGCAAGCCUGAUCCAGCCAUGCCGCGUGCGGGAAGAAGGCCUUCGGGUUGUAAACCGCUUUUGUCAGGGAAGAAAUCUUCUGAGUUAAUACCUCGGGAGGAUGACGGUACCUGAGGAAUAAGCACCGGCUAACUACGUGCCAGCAGCCGCGGUAAUACGUAGGGUGCAAGCGUUAAUCGGAAUACUGGGCGUAAAGCGUGCGCAGGCGGUUUUGUAAGACAGAGGUGAAAUCCCCGGGCUCAACCUGGGAACUGCCUUUGUGACUGCAAGGCUUGAGUGCGGCAGAGGGGGGAUGGAAUUCCGCGUGUAGCAGUGAAAUGCGUAGAUAUGCGGAGGAACACCGAUGGCGAAGGCAAUCCCCUGGGCCUGCACUGACGCUCAUGCACGAAAGCGUGGGGAGCAAACAGGAUUAGAUACCCUGGUAGUCCACGCCCUAAACGAUGUCAACUGGUUGUUGGGAAGGUUCCUUCUCAGUAACGUAGCUAACGCGUGAAGUUGACCGCCUGGGGAGUACGGCCGCAAGGUUGAAAC
rnacentral:rRNA from 1 species